AAGCUAUGAGGAUAAUUUGUAUGCUGAAUUUUAGUGAUUCACUUAUACGCUAUUCUGAGCUUUUU